UCGUGGGUGACUGCGAAUCUGAAGGAAGCCGAAAGCAAAGCGCUGGCCUGACGAACAGGAAGCGGAUCAGAGGCGGCGCGGCGGGGCGAAGUGGCCUUGGUUCAAUAAUGCUUCCACGCCCAUAACUGAGCUGAUCCCGAGUGCGGCGGCUUGAGGGCGCCGAAGUCAAGUCC
rnacentral:autocatalytically_spliced_intron from 1 species